AAAAUUGUAUUCCUGUAUAUACUCCACACACUUUAUGUGUUAAUAUUUUUAUACACAUUAUACUAUGUAGUUUUAAAAAUCUGACAAUGUGUUUUAAUAACUCACUUUAUGUACAUAUAGCAUCAUUAAUAAGCAUUAUAUUAUAUGCAUAUAUAUACACAUACACGUGUGUGUGUAUAUAUAUAUUUUCUUUUAAAAAGCAUUGAGAAGGAAAGGGAAUAAUUCUAAAUGUAUAGAGAUUAUCAUAUCAAAUUUCUUAUUUAACCUUGUGGUUCCCUUCAUAUAUUUCU
rnacentral:lncRNA from 1 species